CCGGAGGCGACUGCUAUUGGGGUCCGGCUAAGCCAUGCGAGUGGUGGGCACCCGGUGGCAACACCGGGAGACCCCGCGUACGGCUCAGUAACACGUCGUCAACCUAACCUGAGGCGGGGGAUAACCUCGGGAAACUGAGGACAAUACCCCAUAGGCAAGGGAGGCUGGAAUGCACUCUUGUUGAAAGCCUCCGGGCGCCCCAGGAUGGGACGGCGGUCUAUCAGGUAGUUGGUGGUGUAAUGGACCACCAAGCCUACAACGGGUACGGGCAGUGAGAGCUGGAGCCCGGAGAUGGGGACUGAGGCAAGGCCCCAGGCCCUACGGGGCGCAGCAGGCGCGAAAACUCCGCAAUGGGCGAAAGCCUGACGGGGGGACCCCAAGUGCCGUUGGCUUUUUGUCGGCGGCUUUUAUGAAGUCUAAACAGCUUCAGGAAUAAGGGCUGGGUAAGUCGGGUGCCAGCCGCCGCGGUAAUACCCGCAGCCCAAGUGGUCGCCGCGUUUAUUGGGCCUAAAGCGCUCGUAGCCGGGCUGGCAAGUCUUUCGUGAAAUCGGCCAGGAAACUGGUCGGCGUGCGGGAGAUACUGCUGGUCUAGAGGCCGGAAGACGCCGAGGGUACUCCGGGGGUAGCGGUGAAAUGCUGUAAUCCUUGGGGGACCACCAGUGGCGAAGGCGCUCGGCGAGAACGGACCUGACGGUGAGGGGCGAAAGCUAGGGGAGCGAACGGGAUUAGAUACCCCGGUAGUCCUAGCUGUAAAGGAUGCGGGCUAUGUGUCGGGUGCUCUCAGAGAGUACUCGGUGCCGGAGGGAAGCCGUUAAGCCCGCCGCCUGGGAAGUACGGCCGCAAGGCUGAAACUUAAAGAAAUUGGCGGGGGAGCACCACAAGGGGUGGGACCUGCGGUUCAAUUGGAUUCAACGCCGGAAAACUCACCAGGGGCGACAGUUGAAUGAAGGCCAGGCUGACGACCUUGCUGGACUAGCUGAGAGGUGGUGCAUGGCCGUCGUCAGCUCGUACCGUGAGGCGUCCUGUUAAGUCAGGCAACGAGCGAGACCUUCGCCGCUAGUUACCAUCGGUGGGAAGCCGGGCACUCUAGCGGGACCGCUGGCGCUAAGCCAGAGGAAGGAGAGGGCGACGGUAGGUCAGUAUGCCCCGAAUCCCCUGGGCCACACGCGGGUCACAAUGCGCAGGACAAUGGGCUGCGACCCCGUAAGGGGAAGCCAAUCUCCUAAACCUGCGCUCAGUUCGGAUCGAGGGCUGUAACUCGUCCUCGUGAAGCUGGAAUCCCUAGUAAUCGCGAGCCAACACCUCGCGGUGAAUACGUCCCUGCUCCUUGCACACACCGCCCGUCAAGCCACUCGAGUGGGGUUCAAGUGAG
rnacentral:rRNA from 1 species